rnacentral:rRNA from 1 species
UACAUGCAAGUCGAGCGAACAGACGAGGAGCUUGCUCCUCUGACGUUAGCGGCGGACGGGUGAGUAACACGUGGAUAACCUACCUAUAAGACUGGGAUAACUUCGGGAAACCGGAGCUAAUACCGGAUAAUAUAUUGAACCGCAUGGUUCAAUAGUGAAAGACGGUUUUGCUGUCACUUAUAGAUGGAUCCGCGCCGCAUUAGCUAGUUGGUAUGGUAACGGCUUACCAAGGCAACGAUGCGUAGCCGACCUGAGAGGGUGAUCGGCCACACUGGAACUGAGACACGGUCCAGACUCCUACGGGAGGCAGCAGUAGGGAAUCUUCCGCAAUGGGCGAAAGCCUGACGGAGCAACGCCGCGUGAGUGAUGAAGGUCUUCGGAUCGUAAAACUCUGUUAUUAGGGAAGAACAAAUGUGUAAGUAACUAUGCACGUCUUGACGGUACCUAAUCAGAAAGCCACGGCUAACUACGUGCCAGCAGCCGCGGUAAUACGUAGGUGGCAAGCGUUAUCCGGAAUUAUUGGGCGUAAAGCGCGCGUAGGCGGUUUUUUAAGUCUGAUGUGAAAGCCCACGGCUCAACCGUGGAGGGUCAUUGGAAACUGGAAAACUUGAGUGCAGAAGAGGAAAGUGGAAUUCCAUGUGUAGCGGUGCAAUGCGCAGAGAUAUGGAGGAACACCAGUGGCGAAGGCGACUUUCUGGUCUGUAACUGACGCUGAUGUGCGAAAGCGUGGGGAUCAAACAGGAUUAGA